rnacentral:tRNA from 1 species
GCCGUCCUAGCUCAGCUGGUAGAGCGCGCGGCUUUUAACCGCGUGGUCGUGGGUUCGAUUCCCACGGACGGCG